GACGAACGCUGGCGGCGUGCUUAACACAUGCAAGUCGAACGGAAAGGCCCUGCUUUUGUGGGGUGCUCGAGGGGCGAACGGGUGGGUAACACGUGAGUAACCUGCCCUUGACUUUGGGAUAACUUCAGGAAACGGGGGCUAAUACCGGAUAGGAGCUCCUGCGGCAUGGGGGGGGUUGGAAAGUUUCGGCGGUUGGGGAUGGACUCGCGGCUUAUCAGCUUGUUGGUGGGGUAGUGGCUUACCAAGGCUUUGACGGGUAGCCGGCCUGAGAGGGUGACCGGCCACAUUGGGACUGAGAUACGGCCCAGACUCCUACGGGAGGCAGCAGUGGGGAAUAUUGCACAAUGGGCGGAAGCCUGAUGCAGCAACGCCGCGUGCGGGAUGACGGCCUUCGGGUUGUAAACCGCUUUCGCCUGUGACGAAGCGUGAGUGACGGUAAUGGGUAAAGAAGCACCGGCUAACUACGUG
rnacentral:rRNA from 1 species